UGCAUACACAGAUCAGUGGGGAAGGAGGAAUUUUGAAUAUGUAUCGCUUGGUUGCGAUACACUUCCAGUUCUUAAAGGAAGGACUCCUGUUCAAUGCUAUUCUGAUUUCAUGAGAGGGUUUAGAGAUAGAUUUGAGAAUCUCUUAGGUGAUACCAUUGUGGUAAGUGCUAUGUUUUUUUCGAAUUUUUGAUCGAAGAGUAGAAGACUCACUUUUUUAAUCCAAAUGACGUGUGAUAUAGGAAAUUCAAGUCGGGAUGGGUCCAGCUGGUGAGCUCCGUUAUCCAUCCUAUCCCGAAAAAGAUGGAAUAUGGAAGUUCCCUGGAAUCGGUGCUUUUCAGUGUUAUGAUAAGUACAUGAUCGGUAGCUUACAGGGUGCAGCGGAAGCAUUUGGUAAGCCUGAAUGGGGACACACCGGUCCAACCGAUGCUGGUGAGUACAACAAUUGGCCAGAAGAUACAAACUUUUUCAAGAAGGAAGGUGGUGGAUGGGAUAGUCAAUACGGGGAGUUCUUCCUCACUUGGUAUUCUCAAAUGCUUUUGAACCAUGGCGAGAGGAUACUGCAAUCAUCCAAGGCGAUAUUCGAGGACAAAGGUGUGAAGAU
rnacentral:misc_RNA from 1 species